AGUGAACGCUGGCGGUAGGCCUAACACAUGCAAGUCGAACGGCAGCACAGUAAGAGCUUGCUCUUACGGGUGGCGAGUGGCGGACGGGUGAGGAAUACAUCGGAAUCUACUUUUUCGUGGGGGAUAACGUAGGGAAACUUACGCUAAUACCGCAUACGACCUACGGGUGAAAGCAGGGGAUCUUCGGACCUUGCGCGAUUGAAUGAGCCGAUGUCGGAUUAGCUAGUUGGCGGGGUAAAGGCCCACCAAGGCGACGAUCCGUAGCUGGUCUGAGAGGAUGAGCAGACACACUGGCACUGAGACACGGUCCAGACUCCUACGGGAGGCAGCAGUGGGGAAUAUUGGACAAUGGGCGCAAGCCUGAUCCAGCCAUACCGCGUGGGUGAAGAAGGCCUUCGGGUUGUAAAGCCCUUUUGUUGGGAAAGAAAAGCAGCAGGUUAAUACCCCGCUGUUCUGACGGUACCCAAAGAAUAAGCACCGGCUAACUUCGUG
rnacentral:rRNA from 1 species